AUAAAAAACCAAUGCCCUUCGGGGCUCCUUGGUGAUUCAUAAUAACUUAACGAAUCGCAUAGCCUUGUGCUGGCGAUGGUUCAUUCAAAUUUCUGCCCUAUCAACUUUCGAUUGUAUGGUAUUGGCUUACAAUGGUUUCAACGGGUAACGGGGAAUUAGGGUUCUAUUCCGGAGAGGGAGCCUGAGAAACGGCUACCACAUCCAAGGAAGGCAGCAGGCGCGCAAAUUACCCAAUCCCGACACGGGGAGGUAGUGACAAUAAAUACUGAUACAGGGCUCUUUUGGGUCUUGUAAUUGGAAUGAGUACAAUUUAAAUCCCUUAACGAGGAACAAUUGGAGGGCAAGUCUGGUGCCAGCAGCCGCGGUAAUUCCAGCUCCAAUAGCGUAUAUUAAAGUUGUUGCAGUUAAAAAGCUCGUAGUUGAACUUCAGACCUGGCCGGGUGGUCCGCUUAACGGCGUGUACUGUCUGGCUGGGCCUUACCUCUUGGUGAGCCGGUGUGCCCUUUAUUGGUGUGCGCC
rnacentral:rRNA from 1 species